CUGUCACGACGAUUGACCCAGCUGCAUGAUCCCAGAUCUUCUCUCUGUAACCUUUGUGUGGAAAACGCAAGUAAAUGGCACCGUCACCUCGGGCUAGGGCACCGUAUUUUGCUUGGCUAUCAAUUCUAACUGGAGGAGCUUGGACACCAAGACAAACCUCCGCAAUGGAGCCUGUUAAAUCACGCAAGGAGUGUGCCCCUUCGUAGGACUCAAAGAAUGAAGCUUCGACUGGAUUGUCGAUGGAACAGACACUAAUCUUUUGUGCUGGAGAGCCCUGUAAAGACUCUACUUCAGCUCCACAACCAAUAGUAGCAGAAAAGAGAGCACCAACUUGAUCUCCCGAGGAGCCACCAUUAAGGUUGCCUAUUGAUCCCAAAGAAAGGUUGGGACAAGCCAAUACACCCAAAACAACUUUACCCUCAUCAAGCAGAGCCAGGGCAAUAGCAUAUUGGUCAGCAAACUCACCCUUUAGUCCCAUCAAUUGGAUCUAGCACCCAGUGUCGCCCAGAUGGACCUCCCUCAGACUUGCCAUCGUCAAUUGCAGAGAGGAUACCUUCCUUAGAGAAGUAAAUGCUGUAUGUACCAUCAUCUACGAUAGUUUCGUUUACGAGCUCGGUGAUAUUUUCUAAAAUUUCUUCUGCGCCUUCUUUCCUCAAUUCUUCCGAGUCCU
rnacentral:sRNA from 1 species